GCGGCUCAGUUCAUCAGUGGUUGUUGAACUCCAAUAAACAUUAGUGACAGGAGUCUGAGGAAAAGAUUUGAAAAUGUGGCCCCUUAAAGGAAAAAUUAAGCUCAAAAUCAAGAUUGUGUUAUUUUCAACGUUUUAAGCCCUCACGGCAUCUUCGGAACACAAAUGCGGAUGAUACACAACUCUACCGUUCUUUUCGCCCAGAUGAUCCGACUGUUUCUGCACGCAUCUCAGCUUGCCUAGCUGACAUCUCCACUGGUUCGGCACCACCUUGUCUUCACUCGCUACUGCAGACAUAUGUACCCGCCAUAUCCCUACUCUCUGCAAACGAACGGCGUCUUGUGGUGCCAUCCCAAAAAGAGAGCGAUUAAGGAUCAGCAGACUUCGCGGAAGCAGCCAAAGACGUCUUACCCACCCCGGAGUAGAAGAGAGCCAAGGAGUCACAUCUACAAGGAGCGUCAACCUAAUUCCCCUACUUACCUAUCACGACUCCCAAAUACUAGAAUAAAAGCUCCCUUCGGGGCAUGGUUAAAAGCGUCUG